GGAUUGUGACUCAGCGGUAGAGUGCUUGCCUAGCACAUGGGAGGCCCUGGGUUCGAUCCUCAGGACCA
rnacentral:tRNA from 1 species